rnacentral:rRNA from 1 species
UACGGAGGAUGCGAGCGUUAUCCGGAUUUAUUGGGUUUAAAGGGUGCGUAGGCGGGAUGCCAAGUCAGCGGUAAAAAUGCGGUGCUCAACGCCGUCGAGCCGUUGAAACUAGCGUUCUUGAGUGGGCGAGAAGUAUGCGGAAUGCGUGGUGUAGCGGUGAAAUGCAUAGAUAUCACGCAGAACUCCGAUUGCGAAGGCAGCAUACCGGCGCCCUACUGACGCUGAGGCACGAAAGCGUGGGUAUCGAACAGG